CCCUUAGAUAUUCUGGGCCGCACGCGUGCUACACUGAGUGGAUCAGCGGGUCAGGUUGCGCGAAAGUGUUUCCUAAUCUUGAAAUCCGCUCGUGAUGGGGAUUGACGGUUGCAAUUUUCCGUCAUGAACGAGGAAUACCUUGUAAGCGCGGGUCAUCAUCCCGCGCUGAAUACGUCCCUGCCCUUUGUACACACCGCCCGUCGCUCCUACCGAUUGAGUGGUCCGGUGAGGCUUUGGGAUCUGAGCAAAGAGAGCGUUUCGCUCGUUUUGCCCGGAAAACUCAGUCGAACCUUAUCAUUUAGAGGAAGGAGAAGUCGUAACA
rnacentral:rRNA from 1 species